CCUACGGGUGGCAGCAGUCGAGAAUUAUUCACAAUGGGGGAAACCCUGAUGGUGCGACGCCGCGUGGGGGAAUGAAGGUCUUCGGAUUGUAAACCCCUGUCAUGUGGGAGCAAAUUAAAAAGAUAGUACCACAAGAGGAAGAGACGGCUAACUCUGUGCCAGCCGCCGCGGUAAUACAGAGGUCUCAAGCGUUGUUCGGAAUCACUGGGCGUAAAGCGUGCGAAGGCUGUUUCGUAAGGCGUGUGUGAAAGGCGCGGGCUCAACCCGCGGACGGCACAUGAUACUGCGAGACUAGAGUGAUGGAGGGGGAACCGGAAUUCUCGGUGUAGCAGUGAAAUGCGUAGAUAUCGAGAGGAACACUCGUGGCGAAGGCGGGUUCCUGGACAUUAACUGACGCUGAGGCACGAAGGCCAGGGGAGCGAAAGGGAUUAGAUACCCGGGUAGUC
rnacentral:rRNA from 1 species